ensembl:lncRNA
CUCUUUUUCUGAAUCUGUCCAUCAGAGACAAUAAAAUAUAUCUCAUUUCAAUACAGUAUUUGUGCCUUCAGAGUGCUGUGGAAUAUAUUUUCCUGGAAAAUGAUUGUCUAUUGCAGACUUGCCAUUUUUAUUCUGUCUGCAAGCAGGUAAAAAAACCAGCAUGGGCUGUGUCUACUUUAGCAACUCGCUUGGAGUAAAAGGAGCAGGCUGAUGGCUGUAAGAAGCUGUGCUGAGGACCUUUGCACCCCUGGCACACUCUCACACAGGCUGCUUUGGGUCGGGUAGGAACUGGCCCAGAACCACUACACAUUUUGGAACUCCGUGGGGCAAAGCCCUCACACCAGACACCGCAUCCCCAGCCAUAGGACCGCUGGGGAGCCACACGCUCUGCUUGGAUCCGCCUCAUGCAGGUCUGUUUCACACCAGGCUCCAAUGUCCUCACAGGUGGAAGCCAGCUAACUUUUCUCACUGCUGCUGUCUGUGACAGACACCGGUGUACUGUUUCUGAUCCUGCUCCUUGCUGACACUGGAACUUGCAAUGGUGGUGCUGUGGGGGAGGAAUGGUGGAUUCACCCUGCAGCCACAGCAGCAGUGCAAGACAAACACCUCAGCAUAAUGAAAAACAGGCAUCCAUAACUGCAACAAACAUGAAGAGACUUAAAACAAAAGGCCCAGAUGAAGAGGACUUCAUUUACAUCUACCACAAACGUCAUGAAACUGGGGGAAGAUUCGCUAGGAAGGAUUUAUUCUGAAAUGCAGUCCAUCUGAUUAUAGACAUUUUGGCUAGGUGAGAGGUCAAUUCACUGCCUUUGAGAACAGAUAAAUAUAUAUGGAUACAUAUAUUAUAUCAAGAGGAAGAAGUGAGGAGAGACAAACUAAUGAAUCACUUAAGCCUAUGCUUAAGUUCAAGUUUGUAUCUAAAUCCUUGCGAAGUCAAUAGCUAUGCAGUUGGAGCUAUGCCAGCAUGUAGCUGAAGAUAUGACUGUCAUGAUAAUCUGAUAUGCUAUUAAGUCUGCAGGCAGAAAACAGCCAUAUAACUACUUUUAGUCUGUAAAUGUUGAGGCUUGUAGGUUUGUGGGAAACAUACUAGCACCAUUUUGAUGCUGAUGAGUGCAAAAUGAAUUAGAUCAGUAGGAAGCGGCUUGUCCAUUCAGCAAGAGCCAGUUAGUAUGAUUUACCUUUAUUUUGUUCUGAUUUUAUUAUUAGCAUAGCUCCAAUGUUUUCAAUACACAUAAGGCUGGCAUAGCACAGAUACAAAUCAAUUGAAUUUGGUUUCGUUUUGGACAGCUCACUGAAAGCAUCUGCUAAAUGCACAACAAGGUCAGCCCUCUCCAAUCCACCAUAUCACAUUAGCUGAGAAACAGAAGAGCUAAUAAUAUCUCUUUCAAAAUACAGUGCUUCCAACCCUCAUACCGUAUUCAUUUAGAUAAGCCGUUGGCCCAACCAGUGAAGGCAGGAUUUGGUUCUUCAGCUCUUCAACGUGGAUAACAUUGUGAAAGCAAAAAGAUUAUUCACCUAGAUCCCAAACCCAUUGUUCUACAUGAUGACUAACUUCAGGAAUGGAGCUAUGCUAACUUUGGGGACAAAUCAUGAAGUAAAUUAUUACCAAACUGGAGUGCCAUUGUUUCUAUUUCACAAAUUAAUUACGUUAAGCAUCAGUUAUCUUAUGUUCUACUGUAUUAUGUUAAUUAAAAUUCCUUUAUUACAUUUCUUUGUGGGUAAUUAUAAAAAAAUUAUCACCUCCAGACAACAGUCUUUAAAAAUAUCGUCUUUAUCACACUUGCUUUGCUACAUUAAUUUUGUAUCUCUUUUAAUAUCAUUGUUUAGAUUCAAUAAAAUGGAGA